rnacentral:rRNA from 1 species
CCUACGGGGGGCAGCAGUGAGGAAUAUUGGUCAAUGGACGAGAGUCUGAACCAGCCAAGUAGCGUGAAGGAUGACUGCCCUAUGGGUUGUAAACUUCUUUUAUAUGGGAAUAAAACGUUCCACGUGUGGGAUUUUGUAUGUACCAUAUGAAUAAGGAUCGGCUAACUCCGUGCCAGCAGCCGCGGUAAUACGGAGGAUCCGAGCGUUAUCCGGAUUUAUUGGGUUUAAAGGGAGCGUAGGUGGAUUGUUAAGUCAGUUGUGAAAGUUUGCGGCUCAACCGUAAAAUUGCAGUUGAACUGGCAGUCUUGAGUACAGUAGAGGUGGGCGGAAUUCGUGGUGUAGCGGUGAAAUGCUUAGAUAUCACGAAGAACUCCGAUUGCGAAGGCAGUUCACUGGACUGCAACUGACACUGAGGCUCGAAAGUGUGGGUAUCAAACAGGAUUAGAUACCCUAGUAGUC